CUAUAUGAACCUUGUCUUAGGACAAUUGGGUUUAAUGCAUGUGCAUAAAGUGUCGUCCCAGAUAAGCCUGUGCAGUUUCCUUGUUUAAUGGUGUUUUUAUUUUAAAGAAGUAUUUUCUAAAUGAAAUCCGGUUUUGGCAGAAAGCAUUGUCCCUGAUAAACCUGUGUGGACAUCACAGGUUUAUCUGGGACGACAUUUUAGGCACAUUUAUUGAGCUCAGUUAUUGCAGAACGAGUCUGUAUUCUCAAGAUUGUAAUACACAGUUAUGGGAUUCACAUCUUUUUAGCUCACCUGAGCACAAUGUCCUCAUGGUGAGCUUUUGUGAUCGCCUUUUGUCUGUUGUCCGUUGUGCGGUGUGCGGCGUCAACAUUUGCCUUGUUAACUCUCUAGAGGGCACAUUUAUUGUCCAAUCUUCAUGAAAUUUGGUCAGAAGAUUGGUCUCAAUGAUAUCUUUGAUGAGUUUGAAAAUAAUUAUGUUUGCUUGAAAAACAUGGCUUCCAAGGGGCGGGGCAAUUUUCCUUAUAUGGCUUUAGUAAAAUCUUGUUAACACUCUAGAGGCCACAUUUACAGUCCGAUCUUCAUAAAACUUGGUCAGAAGAUUCAUACCAAUAAUAUCUUGGAAGAG